CUCCUUCGCCCACGCCGGUGACGGCUGGGGCGCCGUCCCUUACCCCAUCGCAGCCCCGGCGGUGCCCCCCGGGAUGCUCUCUGCCCAUUAAUCAUCAUUUUAUGUCGGCAACACCUUCGUGCUCACAGGAAGCCGUUGGCUGGGCAGAAAGGGGAAGGAAGGCAUUGCAAAUUCGGCUGCGAGGAGCUGCGGUGGAGGGCUCGGAGGGGCGGAGGGGAUGGAGGCGAGCGGAGCCGGCUGGAGGUGGCUCUGCGUCGCCGUGCUCGGCGCUGGGGCCGCACUCGCCCUCGAAGGAGAGGAGCUGUGGGACCAGAACAUCACCCAGCACGAUGACAACCCAGAGGCUAUGGGAGACCCCACCGCGGCCACCAGGGACGUGGAUGGGAUGCAGACGUGGCCUGUGGCCUCCCCGACCCCGCCUUUGACCAGGGACCCCCCCACCAUCACCACACCAACGCAAGCGGGCAGCCUGGGGAACCAAACCCAAAAUGGGUCGGGAGUUCCCGUCAAGUACUGGUCCCCUGUGAUCUUUGUGCUCCUUGCUCUGCUCGUGCUCUUCUUCACCUACCGGCGGACCAAGGGCGAAGGGACGCGGGACCCAGCCACCUCCAUCAGCGACUUCUCAGAUGCGCUUGUCCUAGAGCACGACACCGCCCUGAUCCUCCCCGCUGCCCAGGGGGACAGGAAGGGGGCAGAGAAACCCCAAGCCCAGGAGCUGACCGAGACCACCUUCUGCCAGCCAGACCCCCCCCCAGGACAGCCNNNNNNNNNNNNNNNNNNNNNNNNNCCAGGGCACAAUUCUGGGCACGGUGUGCACCCAAAGCGCUGCGUGGGGAGGGUUUUAGGAUGCUCCUGAUGUGCCCUGGACCCCCAGGGAGGGUUUGUGCCCCCCCCUCCCCCCCAGCAUCUCCUUUUGCCUCUCCCUGACCUCAGCAGCCUGCUGUCCCUGAGGCCACCGGCGGUGCCCGCUGCUCCGGGGAGCCCGGUGCUGACUGAGGGCUGGCCGGGGGCAUCCGACGGCUUUUGGACAACCUGACGGAGCACGAGGCCACCCCAGGAUGACAAAUUCUGACAAGACACCCGGCGGGGGGGGAACACGUGGACGCUGGGGGAUGAGAGCAUCGUGUACCGCCCCGCUCCGCCCGAGGGAUGCUCCGGCGCGUCGCCAAAUCCCAGCGGGACAGGGACCCGCGGGGGACGGGGCUGGGCGCAGCGUGGCCGCGUGUGCCUUCACUGCCCCCAAAGACAGGGCUCGGGGUGGGGGGGCACGGCCGAGCCAAUAAAGCCGGGUUUCACCCCCCA
rnacentral:lncRNA from 1 species